rnacentral:rRNA from 1 species
AUACGGAGGGUGCAAGCGUUAUUCGGAAUCACUGGGCGUAAAGGACGCGUAGGCGGGUUGGCAAGUCAGAUGUGAAAUCCUACAGCUUAACUGUAGAACUGCAUUUGAAACUGCUAACCUAGAGUAUGGGAGGGGGAGAUGGAAUUAGUGGUGUAGGGGUGAAAUCCGUAGAUAUCACUAGGAAUACCGAAAGCGAAGGCGAUCUCCUGGAACAUAACUGACGCUAAGGCGUGAAAGCGUGGGGAGCAAACAGGAUUAGAUACCCUAGUAGUCC